GCCAUGUGAUGAUAUCAAGGCUGUUGUGAUUCAGUUGGUUUGGCUAAGUCCAGGGACCUCUGACCUAUUUUGGUCUGUAAUCUUGGUGGUCGAUACAAAGUAAUGUGCGUUCACUGUAAGGGCGGACCAACAAAAAUUUUCCUACUUUUUGAACCACCUCACUCCAUCCAGUUGGGGUGAUUCUCUAGCUGCCAGGGAGGAAUUGUGGUAACUGGAAUGAAAGUAGGAAUAGGUUAUAUUCGAGAUGCCAGGGUUGGGAGUCUCAAAGGACUUAGCUGCGUCAUGGCCACUGAGAGAUGACACACAGAUCUUUGGUAAUCUGAUGGCU
rnacentral:snoRNA from 14 species